rnacentral:SRP_RNA from 1 species
UUGCGCUAAGCGGGGAGCUAGCGGUGCCCUGAACCCGAAAUCCGCUUUAGCGGGGCUGAAUUCUCUUUUGAGGACUCAUUUAGAAAGAGAAGCACUUCUGAUUGGCCGCCAUGCAACAGACAAUCGCGAACCUCGUCAGGUCCGGAAGGAAGCAGCGAUAAGUGAAGCUGUCUGUGUCAUGGAUCGAUCCCAGUCUUGAAAGAGCUUUGACAUUCUAAGGGGUUCGAGAAAGAGUGCGCAA